ACUCCCAAACCCCUGUGAACAUACCAAUUGUUGCCUCGGCGGAUCAGCCCGCUCCCGGUAAAACGGGACGGCCCGCCAGAGGACCCCUAAACUCUGUUUCUAUAUGUAACUUCUGAGUAAAACCAUAAAUAAAUCAAAACUUUCAACAACGGAUCUCUUGGUUCUGGCAUCGAUGAAGAACGCAGCAAAAUGCGAUAAGUAAUGUGAAUUGCAGAAUUCAGUGAAUCAUCGAAUCUUUGAACGCACAUUGCGCCCGCCAGUAUUCUGGCGGGCAUGCCUGUUCGAGCGUCAUUUCAACCCUCAAGCCCCCGGGUUUGGUGUUGGGGAUCGGCGAGCCCUCGCGGCAAGCCGGCCCCGAAAUCUAGUGGCGGUCUCGCUGUAGCUUCCAUUGCGUAGUAGUAAAACCCUCGCAACUGGUACGCGGCGCGGCCAAGCCGUUAAACCCCCAACUUCUGAAUGUUGACCUCGGAUCAGGUAGGAAUACCCGCUGAACUUAAGCUAAUCAAUAAGCGGAGGAA
rnacentral:rRNA from 1 species